rnacentral:rRNA from 1 species
GACGAACGCUGGCGGCGUGCUUAACACAUGCCAGUCGAACGGUGAAGCGAGUGCUUGCACUCGUGGAUCAGUGGCGAACGGGUGAGUAACACGUGAGUAACCUGCCCAUCACUCUGGGAUAAGCACUGGAAACGGUGUCUAAUACUGGAUACGACCAACCCUUGCAUGGGGUGUUGGUGGAAAGAUUUAUCGGUGAUGGAUGGACUCGCGGCCUAUCAGCUUGUUGGCGGGGUAAUGGCCCACCAAGGCGACGACGGGUAGCCGGCCUGAGAGGGUGACCGGCCACACUGGGACUGAGACACGGCCCAGACUCCUACGGGAGGCAGCAGUGGGGAAUAUUGCACAAUGGGCGCAAGCCUGAUGCAGCGACGCCGCGUGAGGGAUGACGGCCUUCGGGCUGUAAACCUCUUUCAGCAGGGAAGAAGCGAAAGUGACGGUACCUGCAGAAGAAGCACCGGCUAACUACGUG